CUCUCCUUCCAGUAGCUCAGUCAUUAAAAAAGUCUUAUUGGUUCAAAAGAUUUCAACACUGGAUCAAGAUCAGAAAAUAGAAAUACUUAGACACGUACAGAAGCCACCUUCUUAACAGCUACGUUUGACCUCAGUUGAAAAGCUCCGGGUAAACAAGUCAUCCCAAGAGUCCCCCCUUCAGUUCCAAACAGCUUGUGUCCCAUCAGUACGCGUGUUUUGCCAGGACCGAUGACAGGAAAACAGUCUCAGCUUGUGUUCAUAAUAAGCUCCCAUACUGGAGAAGAGCAUGUUGGAAGGUUGGAAGAGAAGCGCACUGCCUGUCAUUAGGCCCAGCGGGUUGAGCGGUUGUGAAGAUGCUCGAGAGAGAGAGAGAG